rnacentral:rRNA from 1 species
GACGAACGCUGGCGGCGUGCCUAAUACAUGCAAGUCGAGCGAGACUCUUCGGAGUCUAGCGGCGGACGGGUGAGUAACACGUGGGCAACCUGCCUGUAAGACUGGGAUAACACCGGGAACCCGGGGCUAAUACCGGAUAAUCCUUUUCCUCUCAUGAGGAAAAGCUGAAAGUCGGUUUCGCCUGACACUUACAGAUGGGCCCGCGGCGCAUUAGCUAGUUGGUGAGGUAACGGCUCACCAAGGCGACGAUGCGUAGCCGACCUGAGAGGGUGAUCGGCCACACUGGGACUGAGACACGGCCCAGACUCCUACGGGAGGCAGCAGUAGGGAAUCUUCCACAAUGGACGAAAGUCUGAUGGAGCAACGCCGCGUGAGCGAUGAAGGCCUUCGGGUCGUAAAGCUCUGUUGUUAGGGAAGAACAAGUACCGGAGUAACUGCCGGUACCUUGACGGUACCUAACCAGAAAGCCACGGCUAACUACGUGCCAGCCGCCGCGGUAA